rnacentral:rRNA from 1 species
GAUGAACGCUGGCGGCGUGCUUAACACAUGCAAGUCGAACGGUGAAGGCCGAGCUUGCGCUGCUGGAUCAGUGGCGAACGGGUGAGUAACACGUGAGCAAUCUGCCCCUUACUCUGGGAUAAGCGCUGGAAACGGCGUUUCAUACUGGAUACUCGCUCCGCAGGCAUCUUCAGCAGCUGGAAAGAAUUUCGGUCAGGGAUGAGCUCGCGGCCUAUCAGCUUGUUGGUGAGGUACUGGCUCACCAAGGCGUCGACGGGUAGCCGGCCUGGGUGGUUGACCGGCCACACUGGGACUGGGAAACGGCCCGGACUCCUACGGGAGGAAGCAGUGGGGAAUAUUGCAAAAUGGGCGAAAGCCUGAUGCAGCAACGCCGCGUGAGGGACGACGGCCUUCGGGUUGUAAACCUCUUUUAGCAGGGAAGAAGCGAAAGUGACGGUACCUGCAGAAAAAGCGCCGGCUAACUACGUG